rnacentral:rRNA from 1 species
CCUACGGGUGGCAGCAGUGGGGAAUAUUGGGCAAUGGACGCAAGUCUGAUCCAGCAACGCCGCGUGAAGGAAGAAGGCUUUCGGGUUGUAAACCUCUUUUAGGGGGGAAGAGCAGAAGACGGUCCCCCUUGAAUAAGCCACGGCUUACUACGUGCAAGAAGCCGCGGUAAUACGUAGGUGGCAAGCGUUGUCCGGUUUUAAUGGGUUUAACGGGUGCGUAGGGGGCGUGUUAAGUCAGAGGUAAUAGCCCGGGGCUCAACCCCGGCGAGUCGUUGAAAUUGGCUGUCUUGAGAGGACGGGAGGUAUGCGGAAUGCGCAGUGUAGCGGGGAAAUGCUUAGAGAUUACGCAGAACUCCGAUUGCGAAGGCAGCAUACCGGCGGCGAUCUGACGCUGAGGCACGAAAGCGUGGGGAGCGAACAGGAUUAGAUACCCCAGUAGUC